rnacentral:miRNA from 1 species
CGAGUCAGUCGAUUUCUUCGA